rnacentral:rRNA from 1 species
UACGGAGGGUGCAAGCGUUGCUCGGAAUUAUUGGGCGUAAAGGGCAAGUAGGUGGUCUCAUUUGUCAGGGGUGAAAGCCUUGGGCUUAACUCAAGAAGUGCCCCUGAAACGGUGAGACUUGAGUCCUGGAGAGGCGAGUGGAAUUCCCGGUGUAGCGGUGAAAUGCGUAGAGAUCGGGAGGAACACCAGAGGCGAAGGCGGCUCGCUGGACAGGCACUGACACUCAACUGCGAAAGCGUGGGGAGCAAACAGG